UACGUAGGGACCAAGCGUUGUUCGGAUUUACUGGGCGUAAAGGGCGCGUAGGCGGCGCGGUAAGUCACUUGUGAAAUCUCUGAGCUUAACUCAGAACGGCCAAGUGAUACUGCAGUGCUAGAGUGUGGAAGGGGCAAUCGGAAUUCUUGGUGUAGCGGUGAAAUGCGUAGAUAUCAAGAGGAACACCUGCGGCGAAGGCGGGUUGCUGGGCUGACACUGACGCUGAGGCGCGAAAGCCAGGGGAGCGAACGGG
rnacentral:rRNA from 1 species